rnacentral:rRNA from 1 species
AUUGAACGCUGGCGGCAUGCUUUACACAUGCAAGUCGAACGGUAACAGGCCGCAAGGUGCUGACGAGUGGCGAACGGGUGAGUAAUGCAUCGGAACGUGCCCAGUCGUGGGGGAUAACUGCUCGAAAGAGCAGCUAAUACCGCAUACGAUCUAUGGAUGAAAGCGGGGGACCGAAAGGCCUCGCGCGAUUGGAGCGGCCGAUGUCAGAUUAGGUAGUUGGUGGGGUAAAGGCUCACCAAGCCAACGAUCUGUAGCUGGCCUGAGAGGACGACCAGCCACACUGGGACUGAGACACGGCCCAGACUCCUACGGGAGGCAGCAGUGGGGAAUUUUGGACAAUGGGCGCAAGCCUGGUCCAGCAAUGCCGCGUGCAGGAAGAAGGCCUUCGGGUUGUAAACUGCUUUUGUACGGAACGAAACGGCUCUGGUUAAUACCUGGGGCUAAUGACGGUACCGUAAGAAUAAGCACCGGCUAACUACGUGCCAGCAGCCGCCGUAACAC